UGGGGAAUUUUGGACAAUUGGGCGAAAGCCUGAUCCAGCAAUGCCGCGUGUGUGAAGAAGGCCUUCGGGUUGUAAAGCACUUUUGUCCGGAAAGAAAUCCUUGGCUCUAAUACAGUCGGGGGAUGACGGUACCGGAAGAAUAAGCACCGGCUAACUACGUGCCAGCAGCCGCGGUAAUACGUAGGGUGCAAGCGUUAAUCGGAAUUACUGGGCGUAAAGCGUGCGCAGGCGGUUUGCUAAGACCGAUGUGAAAUCCCCGGGCUCAACCUGGGAACUGCAUUGGUGACUGGCAGGCUAGAGUAUGGCAGAGGGGAGUAGAAUUCCACGUGUAGCAGUGAAAUGCGUAGAGAUGUGGAGGAAUACCGAUGGCGAAGGCAGCCCCCUGGGCCAAUACUGACGCUCAUGCACGAAAGCGUGGGGAGCAAACAGGAUUAGAUACCCUGGUAGUCCACGCCCUAAACGAUGUCAACUAGUUNUUGGGGAUUCAUUUCCUUAGUAACGUAGCUAACGCGUGAAGUUGACCGCCUGGGGAGUACGGUCGCAAGAUUAAAACUUAAAGGAAUUG
rnacentral:rRNA from 1 species